UGCAGUCGAGCGGAGAUAUUUAAACGGAAGGUUUCGGCUGAAAGUUUGAAUAUUUUAGCGGCGGACGGGUGAGUAACGUGUGGGCAACCUGCCCUGUACUGUGGAAUAAUCACUGGAAACGGUGACUAAUACCGCAUGUCAUUGCGAGAGGGCAUCCUCUUGCAAGAAAAGGAUUUAUUCGGUACAGGAUGGGCCCGCAUCUGAUUAGCUAGUUGGUGAGAUAACAGCCCACCAAGGCAACGAUCAGUAGCCGACCUGAGAGGGUGAUCGGCCACAUUGGGACUGAGACACGGCCCAAACUCCUACGGGAGGCAGCAGUGGGGAAUAUUGCACAAUGGGCGAAAGCCUGAUGCAGCAACGCCGCGUGAAGGAUGAAGGGUUUCGGCUCGUAAACUUCUAUCAACAGGGACGAAAAAAAUGACGGUACCUGAAUAAGAAGCCCCGGCUAACUACGUGCCAGCAGCCGCGGUAAUACGUAGGGGGCAAGCGUUAUCCGGAAUUACUGGGUGUAAAGGGAGAGUAGGCGGCAUGGUAAGUUAGAUGUGAAAGCCCGAGGCUUAACCUCGGGAUUGCAUUUAAAACUAUCAAGCUAGAGUACAGGAGAGGUAAGUGGAAUUCCUAGUGUAGCGGUGAAAUGCGUAGAUAUUAGGAAGAACACCAGUGGCGAAGGCGACUUACUGGACUGAAACUGACGCUGAGGCUCGAAAGCGUGGGGAGCGAACAGGAUUAGAUACCCUGGUAGUCCACGCCGUAAACGAUGAGUGCUAGGUGUCGGGGGGGAACCCUCGGUGCCGCAGCUAACGCAAUAAGCACUCCACCUGGGGAGUACGAUCGCAGAUUGAAACUCAAAGGAAUUGACGGGGG
rnacentral:rRNA from 1 species